rnacentral:rRNA from 1 species
GAUGAACGCUGGCGGCGUGCUUAACACAUGCAAGUCGAACGGACGGGCCCUGCUUUUGUGGCGUGCUCGAGUGGCGAACGGGUGAGUAACACGUGAGUAUCAUGCCCUUGUCUUUGGGAUAACUUCAGGAAACUGGGGCUCAUACCGGAGAGGAGCUCCUGAUGCGCGGGGGGGGUUGGAAAGUUUCGGCGGUGGGGGCUGGACUCGCGGCUUAUCAGCUGGAUGGUGGGGUAGUGGCUUACGAAGUCUAUGACGGGUAGCCGGCCUUGGAGGGUGACCGGCGUCCUUGGUACUGAGGUACGGCCCAGUCUCCUACCGGAGGCAGCAGUGGGGAAUAUUGCGCAACGGGCGCACGCCUGUGGCGGCGGCGCUCCGUUCGUGAUGAUGUCUUUCUGGUUGUAAACCGCUUUCGCCUGUGAUGUAGCGUGAGUGACGGUAAUGGGUAAAGAAGCACCGGCUAACUACGUG